rnacentral:rRNA from 1 species
AGUGAACGCUGGCGGUAGGCCUAACACAUGCAAGUCGAACGGCAGCACAGUAAGAGCUUGCUCUUACGGGUGGCGAGUGGCGGAUGGGUGAGGAAUACAUCGGAAUCUACUUUUUCGUGGGGGAUAACGUAGGGAAACUUACGCUAAUACCGCAUACGACCUACGGGUGAAAGCAGGGGAUCUUCGGACCUUGCGCGAUUGAAUGAGCCGAUGUCGGAUUAGCUAGUUGGCGGGGUAAAGGCCCACCAAGGCGACGAUCCGUAGCUGGUCUGAGAGGAUGAUCAGCCACACUGGAACUGAGACACGGUCCAGACUCCUACGGGAGGCAGCAGUGGGGAAUAUUGGACAAUGGGCGCAAGCCUGAUCCAGCCAUACCGCGUGGGUGAAGAAGGCCUUCGGGUUGUAAAGCCCUUUUGUUAGGAAAGAAAAGCAGCAGGUUAAUACCCCGCUGUUCUGACGGUACCCAAAGAAUAAGCACCGGCUAACUUCGUG